ensembl:lncRNA
AUGUUUAAAACACGGGUCAUACAAGGAAAUUUUGGUGUGGAGGUGUGGAUUUCACUAAUGCUUUACAUUAAAAACACCCAAACUACAAUGUGCACACUCAGCUGGACUAAGAUGAAGGUCUCAGGUGCUCACGUCUGGCUUCUCUUAUUGUUCCUGUUCCAAAGUGACAGAAACCAGGUUUCAGGCCAGUGUUCAGUACCCACAGCACUCUGCUGUCCUGGAGUGAAUAGCCAAUGCAACCGUGGUGGGUGUUUUUGUGAUGAGUUCUGCGUCACAAGCGGGGACUGCUGUGCUGACUACAAUCAGAUAUGCAUUCAGCCACAUUCGCCACCAUCCUUUAUAUCACCUUCAUCAACCACACUAUCAUAUUCACCGUUCUCAUCAACAUCCUUAUCAACCUCAAUAUCACCAACCUCACAACCUUUAUCUUCCUCAACAUCAGCCUCACCACCAUCUUCAUCCUCCCUACCUACAACCAACCAAUCACCAACAUCAUCACCAAUCUCACCACCAACUUCAUCCUCCUCACCUACAACCAACCAAUCACCAACAUCAUCACCAACCUCACAAACAUCUUCAUCAGUCUCACCAACAACCAACCAAUCAUCAUCACCACCACCAACCUCUGCAUCUUCAUCAACAUCCCAGCAGAGAAAAAACAUCAGUGCAAUCACAGUCUUCCACAUGCGUGUUCGCUCAGGAGCCAAUGAGGAAGCAAUGCUGAAGGCUGUGCAGGAUUUAAUUCUCCACUUCGAGGGUUUGAUGAGGAGACACCAAUGUGAAGACUGCAGUCUACGAGUGCUAAACAUCAGCAAGAAACAUCACUGACCAUAACAUCAAAUCAUAUUUACUAUAUAAGAUCAGCAGAACCUCUGUGAGAAUAAGCAGUUAAUCAUUUUUUCCUGACCUUCAGCAUCUGCUCGCUGUGUAAACGGUGUCACUAGGUGGCACUAGAGGACCAAACCUGUAAUGGAACCUCGCCUGAUGUCGUAAUUCACUUUCUCUAGGUGUAAUGUUUUGGUGUAACAAGCUAUUUAAUUAUAAAGUUUCUGUAUAUCUUUGAGGCUAUUAUAACUAAUCUCAAUCAAUAUAGUAUGUCAUUAGCAUAUUAUAAAAAAUGUAUUUUGUUAAUAUGUAAAACUA